rnacentral:rRNA from 1 species
UACGUAGGGUGCAAGCGUUGUCCGGAAUUAUUGGGCGUAAAGAGCUCGUAGGCGGUUUGUUGUGUCGGCUGUGAAAUCCCGAGGCUCAACCUCGGGUCUGCAGUCGAUACGAGCAAACUAGAGUGUUGCAGGGGAGACUGGAAUUCCUGGUGUAGCGGUGAAAUGCGCAGAUAUCAGGAAGAACACCAAUGGCGAAGGCAGCUCUCUGGGACGGUACUGACGCUGAGACGCGAAAGCGUGGGGAGCGAACAGG